AGCGAACGCUGGCGGCAGGCCUAACACAUGCAAGUCGAACGAACCCUUCGGGGUUAGUGGCGGACGGGUGAGUAACACGUGGGAACGUGCCUUUAGGUUCGGAAUAACUCAGGGAAACUUGUGCUAAUACCGAAUGUGCCCUUCGGGGGAAAGAUUUAUCGCCUUUAGAGCGGCCCGCGUCUGAUUAGCUAGUUGGUGAGGUAAUGGCUCACCAAGGCUACGAUCAGUAGCUGGUCUGAGAGGAUGACCAGCCACAUUGGGACUGAGACACGGCCCAAACUCCUACGGGAGGCAGCAGUGGGGAAUCUUGCGCAAUGGGCGAAAGCCUGACGCAGCCAUGCCGCGUGGAUGAUGAAGGUCUUAGGAUUGUAAAAUCCUUUCACCGGUGAAGGUAAUGGCUGUAGCCGGAGAAGAAGCCCCGGCUAACUUCGUGCCAGCAGCCGCGGUAACAC
rnacentral:rRNA from 1 species